AUUGAACGCUGGCGGCAGGCCUAACACAUGCAAGUCGAGCGGGGUUUUCGGACCUAGCGGCGGACGGGUGAGUAAUGCGUAGGAAGCUACCCGAUAGAGGGGGAUACCAGUUGGAAACGACUGUUAAUACCGCAUAAUGUCUACGGACCAAAGUGUGGGACCUUCGGGCCACAUGCUAUCGGAUGCGCCUACGUGGGAUUAGCUAGUUGGUGAGGUAAUGGCUCACCAAGGCGACGAUCCCUAGCUGGUUUGAGAGGAUGAUCAGCCACACUGGAACUGAGACACGGUCCAGACUCCUACGGGAGGCAGCAGUGGGGAAUAUUGGACAAUGGGCGCAAGCCUGAUCCAGCCAUGCCGCGUGUGUGAAGAAGGCCUUCGGGUUGUAAAGCACUUUCAGUAGGGAGGAAGAGUUGAGUGUUAAUAGUACUCAGCUUUGACGUUACCUAUAGAAGAAGCACCGGCUAACUCUGUGCCAGCAGCCGCCGUAACAC
rnacentral:rRNA from 1 species